rnacentral:rRNA from 1 species
UACGUAGGGUGCAAGCGUUAAUCGGAAUUACUGGGCGUAAAGCGUGCGCAGGCGGUUGUGCAAGACAGAUGUGAAAUCCCCGGGCUCAACCUGGGAACUGCAUUUGUGACUGCACGGCUGGAGUGCGGCAGAGGGGGAUGGAAUUCCCAGUGUAGCGGUGAAAUGCGUAGAUAUUGGGAGGAACACCAGUGGCGAAGGCGGCUCACUGGACCGGUACUGACGCUGAGGCACGAAAGCGUGGGGAGCAAACAGG